AUGGAGUCUAAGGAUGCUACAUUCUUUGAGGAUAUUUUUCCUAUGAGAGAUAUGCAAAGCACUUCUAGACAGGAAUCUGAGGAGACUCCUGAACCUGCCAUCCCUAUGGAAUAUUAUGAACAAACACAUGAUGAAAAUCCCGAGGAGGAUGACGAGGAAACCCUUGGUAGGGGCAAGAGACAAAGGACUGCAAAGACCUUUGGUGAUGAUUUCUUCGUGUACCUCUUGGAUGAUACUCCCACUUCUAUUUCAGAAGCGUAUGCCUCUCCAGAAGCUGACUACUGGAAGGAUGCGGUCCGUAGCGAGAUGGAUUCCAUCAUGGCUAACGGGACAUGGGAGAUCACUGACCGUCCCUAUGGUUGCAAACCACUGGGAUGUAAGUGGGUGUUCAAAAAGAAGCUUAGGCCCGAUGGUACGAUUGAAAAGUACAAGGCUAGGCUUGUGGCCAAGGGCUAUGACCAGCAAGAAGAGGAAGAUUUCUUUGAUACUUAUUCACCUGUGGCUAGACUGACCACCAUUCGAGUAUUACUCUCGUUGGCGGCCUCACAUGGUCUUCUCGUCCAUCAGAUGGAUGUUAAGACGGCUUUUCUAAAUGGAGAGCUAAAGGAGGAAAUCUACAUGCAACAGCCUGAUGGCUUUGUGAUAGAUGGUCAGGAAAGAAAGGUGUGUAGGUUGAUAAAAUCUUUAUAUGGCCUGAAAAAAGCACCUAAGCAAUGGCAUGAUAAGUUUAAUACAACUCUGACAUCUGUUGGUUUCGUUGUUAAUGAGGCUGACAAAUGUGUAUACUAUCGCCAUGGUGGGGGCGAAGGAGUUAUACUGUGCUUGUAUGUUGAUGACAUACUGAUAUUCGGAACAAACCUCAAAGUCAUUGAGGAGGUCAAAUCGUUUCUAUCUCAGAACUUUGAGAUGAAAGACCUUGGUGUGGCUGAUGUUAUCUUGAACAUCAAGCUACUGAGAGAUAAUGAGGGUGGGAUCACACUUCUGCAAUCCUAUUACGUUAAGAAGGUGUUGAGUCGUUUUGGAUAUUCGGACUGCACACCAUCUCAAACACCAUAUGAUCCUAGCGUAUUGAUUCGAAAGUCCAAAGGCAUGGCUAAAGAUCAAUUGAGAUACUCUCAAAUCAUUGGUUCACUGAUGUACCUAGCGAGCGCAACGAGGCCUGACAUCGCAUUUGCUGUGAGCAAACUGAGCCGGUUUGUUUCCAAACCGGGUGAUGUACAUUGGCAUGCUGUUGAGAGAGUUAUGCGCUAUCUGAAAGGUACUAUGAACUAUGAACUUCACUAUACCGGAUACCCGUCGGUACUUGAAGGGUAUAGUGAUGCGAAUUGGAUCUCUGAUGCUGAUGAGAUGAAGGCCACAACUAGGUAUAUGUUUACUCUUGGAGGUGGCGCUGUUUCCUGGAAGUCUUGCAAGCAAACGAUCUUAACGAGAUCGACAAUGGAAGCAGAAUUAACGGCAUUAGACACAUCUGGUGUUGAAGCGAGAUGGCUUCGAGAUCUUUUGAUGGACUUGCCAUUGGUUGAUAAACCGGUUCCGGCUAUCCUUAUGAACUGUGACAAUCAGACUGUCAUCACCAAGGUGAAGAGUUCAAAGGACAACAUGAAGUCCACGAAACACAUAAGAAUGAGAUUAAAAGCUGUCAGAAAAUUAAGAAACUCCGGAGUGAUAGCGUUGGACUAUGUCCAUACGGCUAAGAAUCUGGCAGAUCCCUUUACAAAAGGGCUAUCACGUGUUGUGAUAGAUAAUGCAUCGAGGGAGAUGGGUAUGAGACCCACAUGA
rnacentral:rRNA from 1 species